rnacentral:pre_miRNA from 1 species
AGUGGGAUAGCUGGGUCAAAUAGUAGUUCCAGUCCACUAUUUUCCAAGGAAUCUCCACACUGCUUUCCAGAUUGGUUGCACCAAUUUGCAGUUCCAUCAGCAAU